rnacentral:rRNA from 1 species
CCCUUAGAUGUCCUGGGCUGCACGCGCGCUACACUGAUGUGUCCAGUAAGCACCUAACCUAUUCCGAGAGGAGCGGGUAACCUUAGCAAAGCACAUCGUGAUGGGGAUAGAUUAUUGCAAUUAUUAGUCUUGAACGAGGAAUUCCUAGUAAGCACAAGUCAUCAGCUUGUGUUGAUUACGUCCCUGCCCUUUGUACACACCGCCCGUCGCUACUACCGAUUGAAUGGCUUAGUGAGGCCUCAGGAUCCGCGCUUAAUGUGUGGAGAAUUUGGACAAACUACGUCAUUUAGAGGAAGUAAAAGUCGUAACA